rnacentral:rRNA from 1 species
UACGUAGGAGACGAGCGUUGUCCGGAAUUACUGGGCGUAAAGCGCGUGUAGGCGGAUGAGCAAGUCUGCUGUGAAAGCUCCUGGCUUAACCGGGAGUGGUCGGUGGAAACUGCUCGUCUGGAGGACGGUAGAGGUAGGUAGAAUUCCCGGUGUAGUGGUGAAAUUCGUAGAUAUCGGGAGGAACACCGGUGGCGAAGGCGGCGACCUGGGUGGAUACUGACGCUGAGGCGCGAAAGCGUGGGGAGCAAACAGG